rnacentral:rRNA from 1 species
GAUGAACGCUGGCGGCGUGCCUAAUACAUGCAAGUCGAGCGAACGGACGAGAAGCUUGCUUCUCUGAUGUUAGCGGCGGACGGGUGAGUAACACGUGGAUAACCUACCUAUAAGACUGGGAUAACUUCGGGAAACCGGAGCUAAUACCGGAUAAUAUUUUGAACCGCAUGGUUCAAAAGUGAAAGACGGUCUUGCUGUCACUUAUAGAUGGAUCCGCGCUGCAUUAGCUAGUUGGUAAGGUAACGGCUUACCAAGGCAACGAUGCAUAGCCGACCUGAGAGGGUGAUCGGCCACACUGGAACUGAGACACGGUCCAGACUCCUACGGGAGGCAGCAGUAGGGAAUCUUCCGCAAUGGGCGAAAGCCUGACGGAGCAACGCCGCGUGAGUGAUGAAGGUCUUCGGAUCGUAAAACUCUGUUAUUAGGGAAGAACAUAUGUGUAAGUAACUGUGCACAUCUUGACGGUACCUAAUCAGAAAGCCACGGCUAACUACGUGCCAGCAGCCGCGGUAAUACGUAGGUGGCAAGCGUUAUCCGGAAUUAUUGGGCGUAAAGCGCGCGUAGGCGGUUUUUUAGUCUGAUGUGAAAGCCCACGGCUCAACCGUGGAGGGUCAUUGGAAACUGGAAAACUUGAGUGCAGAAGAGGAAAGUGGAAUUCCAUGUGUAGCGGUGAAAUGCGCAGAGAUAUGGAGGAACACCAGUGGCGAAGGCGACUUUCUGGUCUGUAACUGACGCUGAUGUGCGAAAGCGUGGGGAUCAAACAGGAUUAGAUACCCUGGUAGUCCACGCCGUAAACGAUGAGUGCUAAGUGUUAGGGGGUUUCCGCCCCUUAGUGCUGCAGCUAACGCAUUAAGCACUCCGCCUGGGGAGUACGACCGCAAGGUUGAAACUCAAAGGAAUUGACGGGGACCCGCACAAGCGGUGGAGCAUGUGGUUUAAUUCGAAGCAACGCGAAGAACCUUACCAAAUCUUGACAUCCUUUGACGACUCUAGAGAUAGAGCUUUCCCCUUCGGGGGACAAAGUGACAGGUGGUGCAUGGUUGUCGUCAGCUCGUGUCGUGAGAUGUUGGGUUAAGUCCCGCAACGAGCGCAACCCUUAAGCUUAGUUGCCAUCAUUAAGUUGGGCACUCUAAGUUGACUGCCGGUGACAAACCGGAGGAAGGUGGGGAUGACGUCAAAUCAUCAUGCCCCUUAUGAUUUGGGCUACACACGUGCUACAAUGGACAAUACAAAGGGCAGCGAAACCGCGAGGUCAAGCAAAUCCCAUAAAGUUGUUCUCAGUUCGGAUUGUAGUCUGCAACUCGACUACAUGAAGCUGGAAUCGCUAGUAAUCGUAGAUCAGCAUGCUACGGUGAAUACGUUCCCGGGUCU